CGAGCGGAUGGCCCUCCGGGACGCCAGCCUUGACCGCGCCCGCGGCUCCCGGCUCCCGUCGCACAGACCCACACCCGCGCGUCUCUCAGCAGCCCCGCAAACAGUCACACCCGGCCACGCGAUGCGGGGCGAGCGACCCAGAAAGACCCUGUCCCGCCCUCCCAGAGCUCCGACGGCUCGGGGGUGAGGCCCCACGGAAGUGAGCGGCCACGCGCCCUCUGCCUUGGAAGGUCACCUUGGAUUCUGAUUGCUUUCCUAACCUUGCACCCAGUCUACAAAGCAAGGUGUUUUGGGGUCUUUGUGAGUUAUGAUGGGAACAUAACCUCCCUUCCCCCUGCAUCUCCUGCACCGACCUUUUUUUGUUCCUGAAACCACCUAGGCUGGGCUUUCUCCUGCUGUCCCCUCCUUAGGACACUCCUUAUUUCCCAUGAGGUCACAGCUUAAAUGUCAUCUUAGCUAAGAGGUUUUUCUCUAAUCGUCUGACAGGUUAGGCUCUUCAUUACCUGGGACCCCAAUACAAUAAGCUUCUGGAGGGCAGGGACCUUGCUUGUCAUCUUGUCUCCUGUGUCUGUGUCCAGAAUAGUGCCUGGCUAGAAACAGGUGCUCUACAAAUAUUUUUGGGUAACGGUAGAAAUUCCACUUCUUUUCUGGGUCUCCCAACCUACUCCGAGCACCCUUUCACGUACAGACCCACUCUUUACCCUCUGCUUUGCCAAGCUUCGGGCCCUCACACGUCCCAUGUGCCUGGACGGCACGCUCCCCUGUACGCCCAGCUGCACCCCCACUUUUUUUCAGAAAGGAUGACGACGUCCUUCACCAAUGCUUUUUCUGUCGGCAGAUUCAGCAGGGCGGGUCCUGCCCCUUUAAUCUGGGCCCCACCUGCUCUGGUCAGACAGGUUUGGAGACACAGGUAAAGGGAGAGAGACUGAGAGGAACACUUGCAGAGCCAGCAGGGAGCCGGGCAGCUCCUUCCCAGACGUUGGGGACCCUCCGUCUCUCCAGAUGGAAAGGUGAUAGGCCCUCAUGGUAGACCCCAGGAGUGAGGCCCCAGGAUGACAGAACCCGAGACCCUGGCCCUGCUGGAAGUGAAGGGGUCUGAGGCCCUGGAAAAGAGCCCACCCCAGGCCUUGGUCCCCAAUGGCCGGCAGCCAGAAGGGGAAGGUGAGGCGGAGACCCAUGGAGCCGCGUCCUCCAAGGUGGGGUCCUCAGCUGGGUCUACCACGGCCGGAGAGGGACCCGAGGAUGGCCUUGACAGCACAGUGAGCGAGGCGGCCACCUUGCCCUGGGGGACCGGCCCCCCGCCCAGUGCCCUGUUCCCAGACCCCCCCGGGUGGCGGGACAUGGAGCCCGAGCCCCUCCGGUCAGAGCCACCCACCAAGCUAGAGGACUUGUCCGAAGAUGACGCCAACCUGCUGCCCGAGAAGGCGGCCCGGGCCUUCGUGCCCAUUGACCUCCAGUGCAUCGAGCGGCGGCCCCAGGAGGACCCGGCUGUGCGCUGUGAGGCCGGCGAGGGCGAGGGCCGCCGGGCCUGCCUGCCCGCCCGGCCCAGCCAGCCCGAGCCCUGUGAGCGCAAGUGGGCCGAGGCCGUGGUGAGGCCGCCGGGCCACACUUGCGGGGGCUGCGGGGGCUGCGGAGGCCGGGACGGGCUGAGGGCCGUGGCCUCGGUGGGAGCCGCGCUCCUUCUCUUCCCCUGCCUGCUGUACGGGGCCUACGCCUUCCUGCCCUUCGACGCCCCGCGGCUGCCGACCAUGAGCUCCCGCCUCAUCUACACGCUGCGCUGCGGGGUCUUUGCCACCUUCCCCAUCAUCCUGGGGCUGCUGGUGUACGGGCUGAGCCUGCUGUGCUUCUCGGCCCUGCGGCCGUUCGGGGAGCGGCGGCGGGAGGUGGAGAUCCACCGGCGCUUCGUGGCCCAGUCGGUGCAGCUCUUCAUCUUGUACUUCUUCAACCUGGCCGUGCUCUCCACCUACCUGCCCCAGGAGACCCUCAAACUGCUCCCCCUGCUCACCGGUCUCUUUGCCGUCUCCCGGAAAUUGUUUUGGAGAGCCAAGGACCAACCCAAAACUGGAAAGGCUGCCAGGUGUCACCUCCAUCAACCUCCCACGCGCUGGCCUCUAUUAGACACCGCCUGUGACUGACUGAUGCUCAGUUCCGUGUCUGUGUAAAGGCCCCCGUUACUAGAGAGUCUUGUCUUUGUGCUAUAAACCCCGCUGUCCUGACUUUGACUCUGGAAUUGCCCAGGGCUGUCCAGGUAUUUGACACCUGUGCUCCAUGUCCCCACUCCAGCACCCUGCCCCCCGCCCACAGUUUCCUUUGCCUCAGUGUCCUGUGACCUUCCCUCUGGCCAGAGAGCCUCCUGCUUGUCGGUGGUCACUGGCACUGGCCUCCUGCUGGUACCCGUGGAGCCACGUUGGCUCUCGUUCCUCUGCUUUUGUCUGGAAGUCACCCGAAACCCUGUGGGGCGUUUCCACGUGAACUGCUGCGAACCCAGAAAGCACUUUUGAAUUUCUGAAGGCACACGCAGAUCUUUUCGUUUUUUCCCUAAUGUAUUUCCUUUUGUUACUUUUUUUUAAGCUUGUAUUUGUCAGAGAGAGAGAGAGAGAGACGGUGCGCACAAGCGGGGGGCGUGACACGGAGGGGAGAGGCAGAUUCCCUGCUGAACAGGGAGCCCAGUGUGGGACUCGAUCCCAGGACACUGGGAUCAUGACUCAAACCAAAGGCAGUUAACGACUGAGCCCCCCCAGGCAUCCCUCUUUUUGUUGCUUUUCAUGCAGGAUUCCUGGUCCCUUUAAGUGCUAGAACAUUCUUGCUCUUGAGCUAGCAUCCGCGCGUGCCGUUCUGACUGGAGCCCAGUGGCCGUCUGUCCCACCAGCCUCCCGGCCAUCUUGAAGCCUGUUUUCUCCCAGAUGUUCCCCCAGAGGAACGUGUUCCUACUGUGUCACUCACCCUCCCGUGCACCCGUGUCCGUCCUGGGGAGCGCCGGCCUCAGACAGAAGCUGGCUUAAGCAGCCAUGACGCUUGUCUGGCCCUUCUUACCCGGUUCACGGCGAGGGAAGCCAAGCAGGCUGAUAUACUGGCUGACCUUCGCCGUGGGCCGCUCUUUUCGAGGCUUUGGCU